rnacentral:rRNA from 1 species
UACGAAGGGGGCUAGCGUUGUUCGGAAUUACUGGGCGUAAAGCGCGUGUAGGCGGGUCUUUAAGUCCGGGGUGAAAUGCCAAGGCUCAACCUUGGAACUGCCUUUGAUACUGGAGAUCUUGAGUCCGGGAGAGGUGAGUGGAAUUGCGAGUGUAGAGGUGAAAUUCGUAGGUAUUCGCAAGAACACCAGUGGCGAAGGCGGCUCACUGGCCCGGAACUGACGCUGAGACGCGAAAGCGUGGGGAGCAAACAGG